rnacentral:rRNA from 1 species
AGUGAACGCUGGCGGUAGGCCUAACACAUGCAAGUCGAACGGCAGCACAGUAAGAGCUUGCUCUUACGGGUGGCGAGUGGCGGACGGGUGAGGAAUACAUCGGAAUCUACUUUUUCGUGGGGGAUAACGUAGGGAAACUUACGCUAAUACCGCAUACGACCUACGGGUGAAAGCAGGGGAUCUUCGGACCUUGCGCGAUUGAAUGAGCCGAUGUCGGAUUAGCUAGUUGGCGGGGUAAAGGCCCACCAAGGCGACGAUCCGUAGCUGGUCUGAGAGGAUGAUCAGCCACGCUGGAACUGAGACACGGUCCAGAAUCCUACGGGAGGCAGCAGUGGGGAAUAUUGGACAAUGGGCGCAAGCCUGAUCCAGCCAUACCGCGUGGGUGAAGAAGGCCUUCGGGUUGUAAAGCCCUUUUGUUGGGAAAGAAAAGCAGCAGGUUAAUACCCCGCUGUUCUGACGGUACCCAAAGAAUAAGCACCGGCUAACUUCGUG